GAUUGCCACAGCAGUGAAGUUCCUACAGAACUCUCGGGUCCGGCAGAGCCCACUUGCGACCAGGAGAGCAUUUCUUAAGAAGAAAGGUACAGGUUUUCUUGGCCUGUAGAGAGGGGCUGGGGCUGGGGCUGGGGCAGCUGAAAGUCACAGCUGGAGACAGGUGCUGACCACAUGAGGGGCUGCUCACAGCUGUCCACAUGGAGGGUGAGAGACCCUCCCUCAGCGGAAGGUAUAUUCCUUCACUCACAGUGGAGCAGAGAGGUUACAGGAUCUAAACUAAACAUCACAGCACCGUGGGCAGCCAGCACCCAGUAGCCGAGCUGCCCUUCGCAUCACACCGAGGACUCCUGCUCUCUGGGCUGACAGAUGAAGAGAUUGACCUGGC
rnacentral:lncRNA from 1 species